rnacentral:rRNA from 1 species
GACUAUACUACCCUGUCAAAGCCUGGUCUUAUCAGAUCUCAGAAGCUAAGCAAGGCUGGGCCUGGUUAGUACUUGGAUGGGAGACUGCUGGGAAGGUAAAUGAAUGUAUGGUCU